ACAAUGCAUCCUAGAUGCUGGGAUCUCUACUAUCCCUAGAACCAUGUCAUGUUUACUACACUAGACUCGAUGCCACUCGUUCGAUCAUUGUAGUAAGUUUUCUAGUUAGUUGACAUGCCACUCAUUCUUAUUUAGUGUUUUUACUACACUAGUUCAAUGUCACUCUACUAGGCUACAUCCAAGUUCAUCACUUUUGCCACUAUAGGAUUCUUUGUCUCAAGACCCAAUCCUCAUGCUACCCUAGUCCAUGUGUCCAACUCAUAGUUACACUACUAAGAAGCAUGCAAGGAAUAGGAAAUAUACAUCUACUAAUCCUAUAAUGCACAAUCAACAUAUGAUGAAUAAAAUUAACUUAGACAUAAAAGAAAAUCCGGAUGCUUCGGGAUGACACCCGCCACCUCUUGAGGGUAUGGAGGCUCUAGAAAUGCCCUCCAACGGACGUUACGACGAAGUCUCGGUCUUCUUGGUCCAAAAUGAUGCUCAAUCGGCCUUAUUUUGCCGAUAGCUUUUCGC
rnacentral:lncRNA from 1 species